rnacentral:rRNA from 1 species
GAGCGGAAGGCCCUUCGGGGUACUCGAGCGGCGAACGGGUGAGUAACACGUGAGCAACCUGCCCUGGACUUUGGGAUAACCCUCGGAAACGGGGGCUAAUACCGAAUAUUACCUCUCACUGCAUGGUGGGUGGUGGAAAGUUUUUCGGUCUGGGAUGGGCUCGCGGCCUAUCAGCUUGUUGGUGGGGUGAUGGCCUACCAAGGCGACGACGGGUAGCCGGCCUGAGAGGGCGACCGGCCACACUGGGACUGAGACACGGCCCAGACUCCUACGGGAGGCAGCAGUGGGGAAUAUUGCACAAUGGGCGGAAGCCUGAUGCAGCGACGCCGCGUGAGGGAUGACGGCCUUCGGGUUGUAAACCUCUUUCAGCAGGGACGAAGCGGAAGUGACGGUACCUGCAGAAGAAGCGCCGGCCAACUACGUGCCAGCAGCCGCGGUAAGACGUAGGGCGCGAGCGUUGUCCGGAUUUAUUGGGCGUAAAGAGCUCGUAGGCGGCUUGUCGCGUCGACUGUGAAAACCCGCGGCUCAACCGCGGGCCUGCAGCCGAUACGGGCAGGCUAGAGUUCGGUAGGGGAGACUGGAAUUCCUGGUGUAGCGGUGAAAUGCGCAGAUAUCAGGAGGAACACCGGUGGCGAAGGCGGGUCUCUGGGCCGAUACUGACGCUGAGGAGCGAAAGCGUGGGGAGCGAACAGGAUUAGAUACCCUGGUAGUCCACGCUGUAAACGUUGGGCGCUAGGUGUGGGGGACCUCUCCGGUCCUCUGUGCCGCAGC